AGAGAGAGAGAGAGAAAAAAUGAGGAGAACGAGCAUAAAAAAAAAAAAUUUUAGUCUCCCUUUCUGCCGAUGUGUUCGUCCACGUGAUUUUUGUGAUUUUUUCUCUCUCUCGACUGCCCUGUCGACACAGAUAAAAGAGGGGAA
rnacentral:ribozyme from 14 species